rnacentral:tRNA from 1 species
GAUUUCUUUUCAAUCACAUCUGUCUUACACACAGAAGGUCGGCGGUUCGAGUCCGCCCGAGAUCA